rnacentral:rRNA from 1 species
UACGGAGGGUGCAAGCGUUAUCCGGAUUUAUUGGGUUUAAAGGGUGCGCAGGCGGAAAAUUAAGUCAGUGGUGAAAGCCUACAGCUCAACUGUAGAACUGCCAUUGAUACUGAUUUUCUUGAAUAUAAUUGAAGUGGGCGGAAUGUGUCAUGUAGCGGUGAAAUGCAUAGAUAUGACACAGAACACCGAUAGCGAAGGCAGCUCACUAAAUUAUUAUUGACGCUCAGGCACGAAAGCGUGGGGAGCGAACAGG